GUUAAUCUAUGUGGCUAAUGGGGACAUCCAAAGGACACCUGGGCCUUUUGGUCCUGCCGCUCGUGCAGAACGUGCCGCUAUACAACUGAAGGACAGUUUGUGAAAGUGCAACAAAUCUCCUUUAGGGCCGACUCCUGAGGAAAGGAUCCGGCCCGUCAGACACUGAAUGCUCCACUUUCUUCCCCAUCGAUGUGCAACUGCGUCCGACCGCCAGAGAUAAAAGAGAAGCGAACCAAAACAGAAAAGUUGUGGGCUGGAAAAACCAAAACAAUGAGCAGAAAGUCAAAAUAAAUCUUGAAAAGCUUGGACUCGAACUGAUUAUUUAUCUAAAACCAACUCAAACACUGCA